UGCANGUCGAGGGCUUUAUGCUUUCUUCGGAGAGGAUUUAGACCGGCAAACGGGUGCGUAACGCGUAUGUAACCUUCCCACAACAGAUGAAUAGGUCUAAGAAAUUGGAAUUAAUACAUCAUAGUACAAAGUAUCGGCAUCGUUACUUUUUUAAAGGAAUGUUUUUACAUUCUGGUUGUGGCUGGACAUGCGUCCCAUUAGCUAGUUGGUUUGGUAACGGCAGACCAAGGCGACGAUGGGUAGGGGUUCUGAGAGGAAGUACCCCCACACUGGCACUGCGAUACGGGCCAGACUCCUACGGGAGGCAGCAGUAGGGAAUAUUGGGCAAUGGACGCAAGUCUGACCCAGCCAUGCCGCGUGCAGGAAGACAGUUUUCGUAACUGUAAACUGCUUUNNNNNNNNNNCUAAAGUCAGGAAUGCGUUCCUGAUUUGAAUGUAGUGUAAGAAUAAGCACCGGCUAACUCCGUGCCAGCAGCCGCGGUAAUACGGAGGGUGCAAGCGUUAUCCGAAUUUAUUGGGUUUAAAGGGCAUUUAGGCGGUCUGUUAAGUCAGUGGUGAAAGUUCAGGGCUCAACUCCGAAAAGUCCGAUGAUACUGUCAGACUGGAGUGAUAUGGGCGUANGCGGAAUUUGAGGUGUAGCGGUGAAAUGCAUAGAUCUCUCAAGGAGUACCGAAAGCGAANGCAGCUUACNAUGUAUCAACUGACGCUGAAGUGCGAAAGCGUGGGUAGCGAAUGGGAUUAGAUACCCCAGUANUCCACGCUGUAAACGAUGAUAACUGGGUGGNNGUAGCGUUCUGAAUUAUCANAACAUAUGAUUGCCUAAGCNCAAGUGAUNAGUU
rnacentral:rRNA from 1 species